rfam:Picea glauca, whole genome shotgun sequence.
AUGUGCAUUCUUACAACAUAGAUUUAAUGCUCCAGAUCCCAUUAGAACUCUGCAUUUAAGUGCGCUCGAGCUAGAGUAGUACUGGGAUGGGUGACUUCCUGGGAAGUCCUAGUGUUUUACAUG